GUGUCCCCUAGAGUUCCCUUGAACACUUCACUGGGACGAAAAUCCAUUCUUCCAACUGAAGUGUUUGGGGGAACUCUUGGUGUCAU
rfam:Ricinus communis cultivar Hale ctg_1100012351612, whole genome shotgun sequence.